UAAGCGGAGGAAAAGAAACCAACAGGGAUUGCCCUAGUAACGGCGAGUGAAGCGGCAACAGCUCAAAUUUGAAAUCUGGCUCUUUCAGAGUCCGAGUUGUAAUUUGCAGAGGGCGCUUUGGCUUUGGCAGCGGUCCAAGUUCCUUGGAACAGGACGUCACAGAGGGUGAGAAUCCCGUACGUGGUCGCUAGCUAUUGCCGUGUAAAGCCCCUUCGACGAGUCGAGUUGUUUGGGAAUGCAGCUCUAAAUGGGAGGUAAAUUUCUUCUAAAGCUAAAUAUUGGCCAGAGACCGAUAGCGCACAAGUAGAGUGAUCGAAAGAUGAAAAGCACUUUGGAAAGAGAGUCAAACAGCACGUGAAAUUGUUGAAAGGGAAGCGCUUGCAGCCAGACUUGCUUGCAGUUGCUCAUCCGGGCUUUUGCCCGGUGCACUCUUCUGUAGGCAGGCCAGCAUCAGUUUGGGCGGUGGGAUAAAGGUCUCUGUCACGUACCUCUCUUCGGGGAGGCCUUAUAGGGGAGACGACAUACCACCAGCCUAGACUGAGGUCCGCGCAUCUGCUAGGAUGCUGGCGUAAUGGCUGUAAGCGGCCCGUCUUGAAACACGGACCAAGAGAGUCUAACAUCUAUGC
rnacentral:rRNA from 1 species